AUUGAACGCUGGCGGCAGGCCUAACACAUGCAAGUCGAGCGCGCGGCGGACGGGGGUGUAAUGUCUGGGAAACUGCCUGAUGGAGGGGGAUAACUACUGGAAACGGUAGCUAAUACCGCAUACCAUCAGAUGUGCCCAGAUGGGCGUAGCUAGUAGGUGGGGUAAUGGCUCACCUCGGCGACGAUCCCUAGCUGGUCUGAGAGGAUGACCAGCCACACUGGAACUGAGACACGGUCCAGACUCCUACGGGAGGCAGCAGUGGGGAAUAUUGCACAAUGGGCGCAAGCCUGAUGCAGCCAUGCCGCGUGUGUGAAGAAGGCCUUCGGGUUGUAAAGCACUUUCAGCGAGGAGGCGUUACUCGCAGAAGAAGCACCGGCUAACUCCGUGCCAGCCGCCGCGGUAAUUC
rnacentral:rRNA from 1 species